GCUCUCCCUGUAAAGGGGGAGUUAACUGAGAGGGCCUGUGGGGUUUUUUUGGGCUAAACUACUUCAUCAUUUUUAUAGUAUUAUACCCAAAUGUUACGCUAUGCUCCUCUUAUGAGCAAGGAAGAAAAGAGGCAGAAUUUGGUGUAUACAGAUGGAAUGAAUGCACUACUAUAACCUAACAUGCUCUGGGAUUUCAAAUACACGCACGCUUUCUGGGCAAGCCCCUGGGAAUGACUGAACUGCGAAAGAACCAUAGCAGAGCCCCAAGGAGUCUGCUGGGUCCUGCCACUGAACUACUGGUGCCAGUGAAGUGGAACAAAUCACCUUGUUGUCCCUAAUGUUUACCUGAACGAAAGCUAAGUGUGGUAGCAUAUGUCACAGAAAAGCAAGAGGGCACUUUCCCCAAAACUUGAGCCUAUAUAUGUAAACUGCUCUGAUCAUUGACAAAAUUCAAUGAAUGGGUGAAGAUU